AGAUCGAGCUCUAUCUUCUCUCCUGUCCUCUCUUUGCAAAUGAGGAGAUUCAAGCUCAGAGAUGAUUUGCCCAAGGUCACAUGGGCAAAUCCUGAUCCAAUGAUCUUACUACCACAGCAGGUCCACAGCAGUUGCCACACAGCUCCCAAUAGACUGGAGACUUUUUCUGCCGGGGAAAAGGCAAUGUCAGUGGUCACUUGUCUGUCCUACGGCUCUAGGAUGACACUUAGAAGAUCAUGGUCAUUAGCAAAUAUCCAAUUCAUAAAGACUGGGAUUAGAUCUCACUUGAAGACAUGAAUCUCUCAAGGAACACUCCAGGAAAAUCCUCUUUGGGCUUUUAUAGUCCUUAUGACCAGAAAUUUUCGGUCCACGAAAAAUAUGACGUACUUCAAUUCCUGCUAAAGCAGGAAACGCACCUUUACAUCCUUUCUCUUUGUAAAUACCCACGCAUUGAAUGUUUAACGUAUUAAAUGCUGUCAGCUUCUACGAGAGUCUCUAUAAAUAUGGUCUCAGAAAACAAUAAAGGGGCACAUCGGUGAAGGCUCAGCUGCUGCCUGGGAACAGCCAGGGCCUGUGAGUGUGAACGCCUCCCAGAGAGCUCGGCUUGAACCUGGCACACAGUAGGCACUCAACAAACCGUUCCUCUGUCUGUCUUGAGAGACUGCGGUGGGCCCUGCAGGGCAGCUGCCUGCCUCUGCCUGGUUCGAGGAAGGCCCAGCCAGGCCGGCCCCAGCUUCCUUCCUGCUCUUCUGUCCCACUCCGACCCACUCCGGAGAGCCACGCUCUGAGCCGCACAUGACUCUCUCCUUCUCCACAGAACAAUCUGUGUUCUGCUCCCGCCCCCGAGAGAGUUCUGAGCUUUCCAAAUAUGGAUGCUUUUUGCAUUCCCAAAGCAUCACGAACAUUUGGGAGAAGAAAAUGAACACCAGACAUGGUUUGGAAACGAUGGAAGCCAAGGGAUGGGUGGUGACGGAACAAGCACCGUACUAGGAGUUUUAAAAUAUAAAACACGAGUCUGGCCUAGGUGAUGUCUUACAACCUUACUAGCUUUGUAGCAGUCUAGGCCCCAAAGAGAUCCUAGAAGUAAGCACCCAAACCCUAAGAAUAAAAACUACAGUGGCCACCACCACACAUUGCAGAGGCGAAAACUGCAUUAAGGAGGCCCAGAGAGUCACCUGCUGUCAGAGGAAAUGAGCAGUGGGAGGCAGUCCCUUGAGAGCCAAACAGCUUGAAAGUUGACAAAUUGAGAUGAACCAGCUCGUCGGUGAGUGUAGGCAGAAGAGGCAUUAGACACAAGAGUAUUUGUUUUUAUAUCAGGCCCAAACCAAAACCUAUUCUGAAAUGGAGUGGAUCUCAGAAUAUACUGAGAAGGUUGCCCUUUUGCUUAGGCACCUUGUGUGUUAUUCAGCUAGAGUUUAUCUUCAAUAGUGUGCCCCUGGAUGCCAGGGCAAAAUGUUAAAGAAUGGCCCCGUCACAGGCACCCCUGUGCAGCAGGCACUGUUGUCCCUGGCGCACAUGCAGGGAGAUAAAGCAGGCAGCUUAGAUAUGACACAGCCUCAACACCCAACCCAGAAUAAGCACUCACAUAUUUGCUGAUUUAAUGAGUUAAUUAAUUAUACAGUCUAGUUUGAGAGAGGCAAAUGGCAGAUGUGAAAUAAUUAAAAUCUGAAUGCCAAAUUAGAUGGUACUAGCUAUAAAUAGAGGUGGAAUAAGAGGAUGGAGAGAUUGGUGUGGACAAACGGGGCUGGAGAGGUCUGUAUGCAACAACGGGUGUCACCAAGGGUGGACUCAGCACAGGGAAGAGAUGACUCCCAGAUGGAUGGAGAAGAUAAACAGAGGUGGGGGGUUGGCCUGGCAGGGGUGAGGGCAGGUGGGCAAGGAGGCAGGCAGCCUGGAGCAGAGGAUGAGUGGGACACAGCAGGACACACAGCCAGCCUGCCAAGACUAGGACAUAUCCUCCACAGUCUGCAGAGGUGCAUGCCAUACCUAGACCUGCCAGGGUUAGCAGGAGGACUUGAACUCGAGAUUCAAGCAAUAAGGGAGAGGAUGACUCUUUUUUCGAGAUAAUUAGCUCCUGAUUAUCUCAACAUGAUACAUUUAAACCUCACACUGGCUUGUCCUGACACUCAGGCCACUAUUUACACUCUUCACCACAUUUUAACAUCACCUUAACUGAGAAUGUAAAUCCAGCACAAAUGUCCAAAUGCUCAUGUAUUUCAGGCAUUGUAAACCCCAGGGGAAAGCUCUGUGUCAUCGGCAUCCCUCCACCCCUUCACUAGCCCAGAGCCCUGGGGGGCAUUGUGCUUAUAGGUGGAGCUGUCUUGUUACUUGCUGGGGCCUUGCAGGGCCCAGCCUCUAGCCAUGCCCUCCAAAUGAGCUUCAGCCACUCCUGGGUUUUAACCAAGUCCUGCACCUAUAGGCCGACCUAUUCCUGAAUCCUGACCAACAAGCCAAUAGCCUGGAAACCUAUAUGCUGAGCACUAGCCAAGAAUUCCAAUGUUUCCCCAGGAUAGCACCCUCUUGUGGACAAAGAGAUUCCACCAUGUUCAACCAAUCCAGUAUCUUCCCUCUACCCUCCAAGGAAAAUGGGCUCCUUCUCCUGAAAUCGCCUUUGCAAAAAUUGUAACAGUGAGAAAAUUAUGACAGUGAAAGAAAUCUGAUCUAACCAACCCCUAUCUUGCCAUUAACCCCCAAACUAUGGUAUUCCUGGGCUUAGGUCAAGCUAACUUUAGGAGAUAUUUAGUUUAUAGUUUAAAUGAUAAUAGCACUUCCCCAAAACUCAACUGCCUCUGUCAAGCUAAUGAAGGACCACCAGGUUAGGAGGAUGAGAGAAGCCUGAAUUCUGCUAAGGCAUAAGUGAUUACCAGCCAUUGUUCCAAAGGUCACAAGAUUUGCAACUUCCCCAAUUACUCCUGCAGAUAACAUCACUACUGUAGAACCUAAGAUUGGCCUUUUGAGGUAUCUCUUCAGGUUUUCACAUUUCUGACAACCAUCACCCCCACCAGAUCCACCACAGGGCCAUGCCUUGUGGCCCCACCCAGAAGCGGACUCAGCACAUGAAGACCAUUUUCCACACCCCUAUGAUUGCAUCCCCAACAAAUCAGCAGCACCCAUUCCCUUGCCUGCCACACUAUCCUUGAAAAACUCUAGCCUCCGUAUUUUCAGAGAUUGAUUUGAUUAAUAACUCCAUCACCCAUGUGGCACAGCUAGCCUCAUGUCAAUUAAACUCUUUAUUGCAAU